rnacentral:rRNA from 1 species
AGAGUUUGAUUAUGGCUCAGAAUGAACGCUGGCGGCGCGCCUAAUACAUGCAAGUCGAGCGAGAAGACGUAGCAAUACGUUUGUAAAGCGGCGAACGGGUGAGGAAUACAUGGGUAACCUACCCUCGAGUGGGGAAUAACUAGCCGAAAGGUUAGCUAAUACCGCGUACGCUUCUUGGACUUCGGUUCAGGGAGGAAAGCGAUACCGUGGGUAUCGCGCUCUUGGAUGGGCUCAUGUCCUAUCAGCUUGUUGGUGAGGUAACGGCUCACCAAGGCUUCGACGGGUAGCUGGUCUGAGAGGACGAUCAGCCACACUGGCACUGCGACACGGGCCAGACUCCUACGGGAGGCAGCAGUAAGGAAUAUUGCGCAAUGGGCGAAAGCCUGACGCAGCGACGCCGCGUGGGGGAUGAAGGUCUUCGGAUUGUAAACCCCUUUCGGGAGGGAAGAUGGAAUGGGGUAACCCAUUUGGACGGUACCUCCAGAAGCAGCCACGGCUAACUUCGUGCCAGCAGCCGCGGUAAUACGAAGGUGGCAAGCGUUAUUCGGAUUUACUGGGCGUACAGGGAGCGUAGGCGGUUCGGUAAGCCCUUUGUGAAAUCUUCAGGCUUAACCUGGAAAAGUCGGAGGGGACUGCCGGGCUAGAGGACGGGAGAGGAGCGCGGAAUUCCCGGUGUAGCGGUGAAAUGCGUAGAGAUCGGGAGGAAGGCCGGUGGCGAAGGCGGCGCUCUGGAACGUUUCUGACGCUGAGGCUCGAAAGCGUGGGGAGCAAACAGGAUUAGAUACCCUGGUAGUCCACGCCUUAAACUAUGAAUACUAAGUGUCGGCGGGUUACCGCCGGUGCCGCAGCUAACGCAUUAAGUAUUCCGCCUGGGAAGUACGGCCGCAAGGUUGAAACUCAAAUGAAUUGACGGGG